rnacentral:rRNA from 1 species
AGAGUUUGAUCAUGGCUCAGAACGAACGCUGGCGGCAUGCCUAACACAUGCAAGUCGAACGAGACCUUCGGGUCUAGUGGCGCACGGGUGACGUAACGUCGUGGGAAUCUGCCCUUGGGUGCGGAAUAACUUCCCGAAAGGGAUGCUAAUACCGCAUAAUGUCGUAAGACCAAAGUAUUUAUCGCCCAAGGAUGAGCCCGUCGUAAGAUUAGCUAGUUGGUGGGGUAAAAGCCUACCAAGGUGACGAUCUUUAGCUGGUCUGAGAGGAUGAUCAGCCACACUGGGACUGAGACACGGCCCAGUACUCACUACGGGAGGCAGCAGUGGGGUAAUAUUGGACAAUGGUGCGUAAGCCUGAUCCAGCAAUGCCGUCGUGAGCUGCAUGAGAGGUCCCUAGGGCUUGUUUGAAGCUCUUUUACCCGGG